AUACGGAGGAUGCAAGCGUUAUCCGGAUUCAUUGGGUUUAAAGGGUGCGCAGGCGGGGGAAUAAGUCAGUGGUGAAAAGCUGCCGCUCAACGGUAGUCUUGCCAAUGAUACUGUUUUUCUUGAGUAUGGUUAAGGUAGGUGGAAUGUGCAGUGUAGCGGUGAAAUGCAUAGAGAUUGCACAGAAGGCCGAUUGCGAAGGCAGCUUACUGAACCAUAACUGACGCUCAUGCACGAAAGCGUGGGGAUCAAACAGGAUUAGAUACCCUGGUAGUCCACGCUGUAAACUAUGUUCACUCGCUGUUUGCGAUAUACUGUAAGCGGCUAAGCGAAAGCAUUAAGUGAACCACCUGGGGAGUACGAUCGCAAGGUUGAA
rnacentral:rRNA from 1 species